rnacentral:rRNA from 1 species
UAGGGAAUCUUCCACAAUGGGCGAAAGCCUGAUGGAGCAACGCCGCGUGUGUGAUGAAGGCUUUCGGGUCGUAAAGCACUGUUGUAUGGGAAGAACAGCUAGAAUAGGAAAUGAUUUUAGUUUGACGGUACCAUACCAGAAAGGGACGGCUAAAUACGUGCCUAG